GUUUUCAGAUUUCAUCCCAAGCCGCUUAUUUUCUGUACUUGUGUCAUUCUCUUCUGCCAAUAUUGAAAUGCAGAGAUAUUAGAUUUGUAGGAAUUCUUUUAGAUAUAUUUCUCAUUCUCAGGAAGAUUAUUAUUAUUUAUUUCGUUCACAGCGUCUUGUAAGAUUCUCUUAAUCAUUUCUUCUCAGAUUGAAGUUUUGAUGGUAGGAUUGUUAGAAAUCGAUAGUUUUACUUUAAUCCUGAGAGGAUUAGCCGUUGGAUUCGCAGCCCUUCCGAUUCUACGAUUCUACGGACUCGGGUUAAAGAUCAGGUAGGUUUCAGUUGGAAUUGGAGAGGAGAUGGAGGGUCGGAUGAGCAAGUACAGGCAGACGAGCCCUGAGAGGACGAGGGUGUGGACGUUGCGAUCGCCAAAGGAGCAGCCGCAGCUGCAGCAGGUUAGGAAAGUCCCGGUGGUUUAUUACCUCUGCAGAAAUCGGCAUCUGGAGCAUCCUCAUUUCAUCGAAGUUCCGCUCUCGUCGCCCCAGGGCCUCUACUUGAGAGAUUUUAUCGAUCGGCUUAACGUUCUGAGAGGGAAAGGCAUGCCUGCCAUGUACUCGUGGUCUUGUAAGAGAAGCUACAAGAAUGGGUUCGUUUGGCACGACCUUUGUGAAGAUGACAUGAUUCUUCCUUGUCAUGGAAAUGAAUACGUUCUCAAAGGUUCUGAGCUCUUGGAAGAUCCUCAUUCAGAUCGUUUCCAUUCUGGUGUCAACAAUGCCAAGUCACCACAGAAUCCGAAACAGCUGCAAGAACUGGUGGCAUCUUCCUCCAGAAGCCAAGAAGCUUCUUCUUCAUCUUCUGGUAUAGUUGGGAGAGAGACGAGAUCUAAUCAAGAAGAUCAAUGCUCCCCUCCACUGCACCACCACCACCCCAAGAGUCCCUCCAUCAUGUCUCCAGAGUCUGGAGCCAGAAAGAAUCCCUUACCGGGUAGUUCUCUGACCUGGACAGAGUACAAGGUUUACAAGGCUGAUGGUGGGACUGAUGCUUCCACUCAGACUGAUGAUAGAAGAAGGACAGAUCGAGCCCCAGAUACUUGUACUAGGGGUGUUUCGACUGACGAUGAGUUGUUAGGCCUUGAAACGCAUGGUAGUCACCAGAAUCAGAUUCCACAGUUGAAGGAGAAGGCUGAGCUCGGCAGGGAUGAGAUUUCCCCACCUCCAUCCUCCUCGAGCACUUCUUCUUCUGAGAGGAAGACAGAGACGUUGGAGUCCCUGAUUAGAGCUGAGGCUACCAAGAUGAACAGUUUUCGUAUACUCGAAGAGGAGGAGCUUUGCAUCCCCUUGAAUACAAAGCUCAAAGCUUCUAAUGUCCUGAUGCAGCUGAUUUCUUGUGGGUCCAUCUCUGUGAAAGAUCACCACAGCUUCGGCAUUGUUCCUACUUACAAGCCAAGGUUCACUCAGACGAAAUUCCACUCCCCGUUCUUCUCUAGUUCAAUCAUGCUAGGGGAACUCGACUGCCUGUCAGAGAAUCCGAGGCUGAUGGGGCUGAGAUUAGAAGACAAGGAGUAUUUCAGUGGGAGCUUGAUUGAGACUACGAAGCACAAGGAAGAACAAGGAGGAGGACUUGCCAGCCUUAAACGCUCAUCCUCCUACAAUGCUGACAGGACUUGUGAGUCGUCAGAUUCAGCUGUGGGCAAAGAGAAUGACGUAGAUACAGGGCGUACUAAAUGCAUCCCUCGAGCAAUUAAAGCUGCAUCGAGUAAGCAUUCGAAUUCGAGGACGGAAACAAUGAGGUCACCUAUUUCAGAUGGGGCAAGGAAUUCUUCAGCAGGGGCUGAUUGCUCGCAGUCCAUGUCUCCUUGUGUAUCCAAUGGUGGAAGCAAAAGGAUCAUGGAUCCUUCCUCACGGAAGAGAUCGUCAAAGAGAUUAGGCUCUAAAGAAAAUGAGAAAUUGAUCAAAAUUGAUGAAAGGCUUGCUUCAGGAGCUCGGGUUAUAAUUCAAUCCAAAGCGUCAUGUGAUGAUAGUGAAGGCAGCUUGAGUACCUGAGUGAGAGAGAGAGGGCUUGUGGGAGGUAUCUCUGUUUCAGGGAAGUUCUUGUGUAAGAGAGGUGGAGGCUUUUCUGGUUAUGUGAGGGGAAAUGAUACGUCAGGGUCAAAGAACCAGAAUAUGGUAGAUCCAUCUCUCAACAGUACACUUUGCAGGGUAAUGCAUGAACCAAAGCUGUCCAUAUAAUGAUACCCAUCUUGGACAGCCUAUGUUUCAAAAUCACAUGUUAGACAAUCAUAUUCAUCACAUCUUGUUUUCAUCAUUUAUCUGAUUGAGAACUACUGUUACAUUGAAGAUCACUGGUCAGAUUCUAGGAUAACCUGAUGGAUGUAUGUUCAAAUCAUUUUCCAUUGAUGAACAGUCCUGAUGGAUAUAUUGUCUCCUUUGAUCUUCUGCGGAGAGAAGGUUCUAUCAUAUUUGGGUUCUACCUUCUCUAACCUAUCAUCGCCCUUUCUGCAACGUUGCCCAUAUUCUGUGGGGCUCACCAGAUGAGUGGCCUGCAUCACUAAAGGUGUCCUGAUAUGUAUGAUUCCUAGCAUUUUCUGGUCAUGAUUGUACAUUGCCUUGGUUUAGAAAAUAGUUGGAAAGGUGUAUACGGCUUUCUACCUUGAUUCCUGUAGGCUAUGGCUCUGAUAUAACGUUUCUUCUGAAUUA